rnacentral:rRNA from 1 species
AUUGAACGCUGGCGGCAUGCUUUACACAUGCAAGUCGAACGGCAGCGCGGGCUUCGGCCUGGCGGCGAGUGGCGAACGGGUGAGUAAUACAUCGGAACGUGCCCAGUAGUGGGGGAUAGCUCGGCGAAAGCCGGAUUAAUACCGCAUACGACCUGAGGGUGAAAGCGGGGGAUCUUCGGACCUCGCGCUAUUGGAGCGGCCGAUGGCAGAUUAGCUAGUUGGUGGGGUAAAGGCCUACCAAGGCGACGAUCUGUAGCUGGUCUGAGAGGACGACCAGCCAAACUGGGACUGGGACACGGCCCAGACUCCUACGGGAGGCAGCAGUGGGGAAUUUUGGACAAUGGGCGAAAGCCUGAUCCAGCAAUGCCGCGUGUGUGAUGAAGGCCUUCGGGUUGUAAAGCACUUUUGGCGGGAACGAAAAGGACUGUGCCAAUACCACGGUUCGAUGACGGUACCCGCAGAAUAAGCACCGGCUAACUACGUG